UGUUCCUUUAGCGUUUGCGGAAGUGGAGGCUGAUAAUCUUCAGAUUAGCUUUCAAAUUUCAUUGUGAAUAUUAUUAAAUAUGUAGGCUAUUUAUCAACUAAAACCGUGGAUCAUCUUACGACAAUGUCUAGUUUUUUAGGGCAGAACUCACCACCUGAACCGCUGUACCUCCGUCAUGACCCCAGCAGCACGCGGUGGGCGGUAAAAGAAGAGAGAGGUUUUUCGGUCAAUAAUAUUACUGUCUGUCCGGCCCAUAGAUGCUGCGUCUGAGACAGAGACUUGCAGUGCCUAGAAGAGCAGCAGAGCCGUGCGGGGAGAUCUGACUUCCCUAAAGUAUCGGGCUAUAGUCAAAAAUAUUUACACUGCCAGGAGUUUCUGAGGCUGAUGUCUGUGGUGUUUCUCCAUACAACAAGAGUUCAUGGUGAACACAGCUGUCAAGCUCCAGACUGGACGUAUUACAUAUAAUAUAUACAAUACAUAUAAAGGCAAACAUCAGACCAUCAAUCUCUGGAAACAUCUUACAAUUUCAGCUUUUUAUUGCAGACUUCUCACAGCACCUUCCUCAUCUCCUGGCAGACUCCACGGCCCUCCUGGGACCCUGUGAAGAACCGAGAGAAUCAAAAGCAUAAAGACAGUUUGAGACAAAGAGUAACCAGGCAAGCACAUAAUUAUGGCUGCCGCAACUCGGCCAUGCAGAACCGCUGGAAAAAACACAGACGAAAGUUCAAAAUGUUACGGUAAGUGUGACCGGAGUGUGCAGUGCGGAAAGCAAAGGGGAAGAAAAAAGCAAAUCCCGAAUUUCUGCUCGGUCGAACUUUGUGCGGGCUGGAGAAGUGCAGCGUAUAAAAUAUGAACUAACUAUGUGAUUAUUAAUUGGGCCCCAUUUUGAUUUCUGUAUUCUGGGCUGCAUAUUGUUCGGCGGCUCUCCACGGGGUCCGUCUGAGCGCGCGCGUGUCGAGGGGCUCGGAGCUGCGCGCCUCAGCCAUUUAGAGAGCGGAGCGGCGCGCACGCACCGGAAUACCAAUGAGAGAGGUUAAAAAGGCACGGCUCCUCUCGGAGACGGCUCUCCUUCUUCCGCGCACCUCCGCCGGGUCUCCACGGACUAAUUUUCAAAACCACCUCUUAAUGUGGGCUUGUGUCAAUCACCUGAACAGACAGCUUUAUCCCCAGAUAUAGAAUAGUCUCUACAUUAGAGCUAGGCGCGCCGGCUACUACACAAUGGGGCCUCGGUUUCUGAAAUAAAGACGAUGGGGAAGAAAAGGCACUUUAAUGCCAAUUGGGUAUAAAAUAAUGCCUUAUUCAUGUUCAGGCACACAUUUACAUUAUAAUGAUAAAGGCUGAUAUCAAAAUGUGUCCGAAAGUCGUGUCGAUAAAGGAGUCAAGUACAUAAGGCUUUUCAUUUCUGCGUUUGGUUACACUGACUGCACGCACACAUAUACAUAACACUAAGAUGAACAUUUCUAAGCAAGGAAUCAUUUCUUUAUCCCCCCUUAGUAAACUUUCAUCUGUUCACGCUGGACGAAUGCUUUCUGACUGUGCCACUUCUGAAUCAAACUUCAAAAGAAACGGCUGGAGAUAAAAAUAAUAACACUGGGAACUCAUUUGGCCCUGAAAGCUGUCUGUUGUAGUCAUUUCACUUCAGACUUUAUUUCAAUAGACCGGACGAAGACAGGAAAUCUCUCAAUCGAACGCUGCUUGAAGUAAAUGUUCAUCGCUGUAUCUUAUAUUUUAAGAGGUCGUAUUUAAAGAGAG